rnacentral:rRNA from 1 species
AUACGUAGGGAGCGAGCGUUGUCCGGAAUUACUGGGCGUAAAGGGCGCGUAGGCGGCGCUUCAAGUCGUCUGUCAAAUGGGAGGGCUUAACCCUUUUUCGCAGACGAAACUGGAGAGCUUGAGAAGCAGAGAGGCAAACAGAAUUCCUGGUGUAGCGGUGAAAUGCGUAGAUAUCAGGAAGAAUACCAGUGGCGAAGGCGGUUUGCUGGCUGCAUACUGACGCUGAAGCGCGAAAGCCAGGGGAGCAAACGGGAUUAGAUACCCGGGUAGUCCUGGCAGUAAACGAUGUAUGCUGGGUGUGAGACUAGCGAUAGUUUCGUGCCGAAGUUAACGCGAUAAGCAUACCGCCUGGGGAGUACGGUCGCAAGAUUGAAACUCAAAUGAAUUGACGGGG